rnacentral:ncRNA from 1 species
AAAUAAUUAUGAUGAAAUAAUAUAAGGUUAAGGGUGUUAUAGCUAAUCUGUAAGAGAGAGGUUAGAUACAACAUAUGGUGGGUCUAUGCUUAAUAGGCGAAUAACCAGUAGAUGUUAUAUUAUUCAUAACAUGGAACGUUAUU